GAAGAGCCAAGUUGUAAGAAAAGCUUCUAACUUAUUCUUAAAGUGGUUAAAUUCCAUUUUCUUUUCU
rnacentral:tRNA from 1 species